UGUGGGGCUUACCUGUCAGUUAUAGUAUGUUUGACUUAAUUUAGUGAUCCAGGCUAAUUCAAUCCCACGUCACCACGCCACUUCACAUCCCAUUCGUUCCUUCGCCCCCGCCUCUUCGAUCGCUCCCCGAUUCCCACCACUUCGAUCCCUGCCCCACCUCUUCGAACCCUCCCCCACAACCGCCGCUUCGAUCCCUCCUCCGCCUCUUCAAUCCUUCCUCCGCCUCUUCGAUCUCUCUCUACACUUCAUAUAUUAAAAGUUGAGUUCUUGCAGGCUUACGUGUCGAUCCCUCCUUCUCUUGCGCGCCCCUCUCCCCGCUUCUUUCCUCUGUCUCCCCGCAGGGCGCGGAGGUCCUGCAGAUCCGCGCCGAACUCUCUCAGAUCUCUUUCCGAUCUGCAAGGCUCUUCUUCUCCUCCUCCCCCUUGCCAUCACGCGAUCGAUCGGAGGAGCUCGCAGGCCCCCGCGCCCUCUCCCCAGCGCUCGCGCCCUGUUCGACGAAAUGCCGAGUAGAUUGCAGGGCUCUUCGCGGGCAUCGGAGAGGUGGGGCGCGAUGCUGGGAUGGUGCAUGGUUUAAAACAAAAGGAGAAAAAAAAGAGCCCUGGAAUCCGCAGGCUCCUCCUUUCUCCUUUCCUUCAGCAUGGUUAAGUGCAACGGUUUGAGGAGGGGCCUUUUCCAAUUUCAGAUUUGGGGUCCCAAAGAAUUCCAAACAAAAGUAAAUAGGGGGGGAAGAACUGUAGUUCGGUCCUGUGCAGUUUAUAGCAAUGUUUUGUUUGUUGUGGGUUACUUUGCUUGCACUUGAAUGUGAUAAGAAUUUGAACCUUCUAUUCCC